rnacentral:rRNA from 1 species
UAAGACGAAGGUGGCAAGCGUUGUUCGGUAUUACUGGGCUUAAAGCGUGUGUAGGCGGAAAGGUAAGCGUUUCGUGAAAUCCCCCGGCUUAACCGGGGAACUGCGCAACGAACUGCUUUUCUUGAGGCAAGUAGGGGUGCAUGGAACUCUUGGUGGAGCGGUGGAAUGCGUAGAUAUCAAGAGGAACGCCAGCGGUGAAAACGGUGCACUGGGCUUGUCCUGACGCUGAGACACGAAAGCGUGGGUAGCGAACGGGAUUAGAUACCCCGGUAGUCCACGCCGUAAACGAUGCCUACUAGGUUGUGAAAGUUCUGACACUGGCACAGCCGAAGCGAAAGUGUUAAGUAGGCCGCCUGGGGAGUACGGUCGCAAGGCUA